CGAUGAAGCUUCUAGCUUGCUAGAAGUGGAUUAGUGGCGCACGGGUGAGUAAGGUAUAGUUAAUCUGCCCUACACAAGAGGACAACAGUUGGAAACGACUGCUAAUACUCUAUACUCCUGCUUAACACAAGUUGAGUAGGGAAAGUUUUUCGGUGUAGGAUGAGACUAUAUAGUAUCAGCUAGUUGGUAAGGUAAUGGCUUACCAAGGCUAUGACGCUUAACUGGUCUGAGAGGAUGAUCAGUCACACUGGAACUGAGACACGGUCCAGACUCCUACGGGAGGCAGCAGUAGGGAAUAUUGCGCAAUGGGGGAAACCCUGACGCAGCAACGCCGCGUGGAGGAUGACACUUUUCGGAGCGUAAACUCCUUUUCUUAGGGAAGAAUUCUGACGGUACCUAAGGAAUAAGCACCGGCUAACUCCGUGCCAGCAGCCGCGGUAAUACGGAGGGUGCAAGCGUUACUCGGAAUCACUGGGCGUAAAGGGCGCGUAGGCGGAUUAUCAAGUCUCUUGUGAAAUCUAAUGGCUUAACCAUUAAACUGCUUGGGAAACUGAUAGUCUAGAGUGAGGGAGAGGCAGAUGGAAUUGGUGGUGUAGGGGGUAAAAUCCGUAGAUAUCACCAAGAAUACCCAUUGCGAAGGCGAUCUGCUGGAACUCAACUGACGCUAAGGCGCGAAAGCGUGGGGAGCAAACAGGAUUAGAUACCCUGGUAGUCCACGCCCUAAACGAUGUACACUAGUUGUUGGGGUGCUAGUCAUCUCAGUAAUGCAGCUAACGCAUUAAGUGUACCGCCUGGGGAGUACGGUCGCAAGAUUAAAACUCAAAGGAAUAGACGGGGACCCGCACAAGCGGUGGAGCAUGUGGUUUAAUUCGAAGAUACGCGAAGAACCUUACCUGGGCUUGAUAUCCUAAGAACCUUUUAGAGAUAAGAGGGUGCUAGCUUGCUAGAACUUAGAGACAGGUGCUGCACGGCUGUCGUCAGCUCGUGUCGUGAGAUGUUGGGUUAAGUCCCGCAACGAGCGCAACCCACGUAUUUAGUUGCUAACGGUUCGGCCGAGCACUCUAAAUAGACUGCCUUCGUAAGGAGGAGGAAGGUGUGGACGACGUCAAGUCAUCAUGGCCCUUAUGCCCAGGGCGACACACGUGCUACAAUGGCAUAUACAAUGAGACGCAAUACCGCGAGGUGGAGCAAAUCUAUAAAAUAUGUCCCAGUUCGGAUUGUUCUCUGCAACUCGAGAGCAUGAAGCCGGAAUCGCUAGUAAUCGUAGAUCAGCCAUGCUACGGUGAAUACGUUCCCGGGUCUUGUACUCACCGCCCGUCACACCAUGGGAGUUGAUUUCACUCGAAGCCGGAAUACUAAAC
rnacentral:rRNA from 1 species